rnacentral:rRNA from 1 species
UACCAGCACCCCGAGUGGUCGGGACGUUAUUGGGCCUAAAGCAUCCGUAGCCGGUUCUACAAGUCUUCCGUUAAAUCCACCUGCUUAACAGAUGGGCUGCGGAAGAUACUAUGGAGCUAGGAGGCGGGAGAGGCAAGCGGUACUCGAUGGGUAGGGGUAAAAUCCGUUGAUCCAUUGAAGACCACCAGUGGCAAGGCGGCUUGCCAGAACGCGCUCGACGGUGAGGGAUGAAAGCUGGGGGAGCAAACCGG